CUCGAUCGUUGCCGCGCCGAUGGGCGAUCCGAACGCGUCGAUCCCGACGCCGCAGCCGGUGCAUUACCGGCCGAUGUUCGCCGCCUACGGCAAGUCGCUGACCGCAUCGUCGGUGAUUUUCACCUCGAAAGCGGCGAUUACGGGCGGGCUGGCCAGGAAGCUCGGCAUCGACAAGAAGCUGUAUGCUGUUUCAAACACCCGCGACCGCAUCUCCAAGAAGAGCAUGAUUCAUAACGGCGCGACCCCGAAUAUCGAGGUCGAUCCCGAGACAUACGAGGUGCGCGCCGACGGCGAAUUGCUGACCUGCGCGCCCGCGGAGGUC
rnacentral:misc_RNA from 1 species